UCUCCGUAGGUGAACCUGCGGAGGGAUCAUUACAGAGUUCUCGCCCUCGCGGGUAGAUCUCCCACCCACUGUUAUCGUUACUGUCUUUUCUUUGGCGGGCCGCCGGUUCCCCGGACACCCACGUCUAAUAUCCCGCGCGCGCCCGCCAACGGCCUUCGAACCCUGAAUGAUAGUGUCGUCUGAGUAAUAUAUAAUAAUAAAAACUUUCAACAACGGAUCUCUUGGUUCUG
rnacentral:misc_RNA from 1 species